GUGCCCGUGGCUCAAUGGAUAGAGCAGUGGAUUCCGGAUCCAAAGGUUGUAGGUUCGACUCCUAUCGGGCACA
rnacentral:tRNA from 3 species